AUUGAACGCUGGCGGCAGGCCUAACACAUGCAAGUCGAACGAGUGGCGGACGGGUGAGUCAUGUCUGGGAAACUGCCCGAUGGAGGGGGAUAACUACUGGAAACGGUAGCUAAUACCGCAUCCCAUCGGAUGUGCCCAGAUGGGAUUAGCUAGUAGGUGGGGUAACGGCUCACCUAGGCGACGAUCCCUAGCUGGUCGGAGAGGAUGACCAGCCACACUGGGACUGAGACACGGUCCAGACUCCGACGGGAGGCAGCAGUGGGGAAUAUUGCACAAUGGGCGCAAGCCUGAUGCAGCCAUGCCGCGUGUAUGAAGAAGGCCUUCGGGUUGUAAAGUACUUUCAGUCGGGAGGCGUUACCCACAGAAGAAGCACCGGCUAACUCCGUGCCAGCCGCCGCGGUAAUUC
rnacentral:rRNA from 1 species